GGAUCUGUCCAGUCCACUCUUGCCUUGGCUGGUGCAUUCUCCAGCACUGCUGGGAUAGUCGUGAAGUUGUUUAUGCCAUCAUACCAUCCAUUCCCCUGAGGUUCCAUUUAGGAGUGAAGAGAGAUGGCUCAGUGGGAAAAAGCACAUGGUGCCUUGUAAAGGAUGGACUUGGAUUCCUAACUCCUACAUGGUGGCUCACAAACGCCUGUAACUUCAGUUCCAGGGGACCCAGUGCCUUUUCCUGGUCUCUCCAGGGCCUCAAAACAUCCAACACAGGACAGACAGUACUGAAGAGCAGCAGACGCAUCACCAUUGUGUCUGCAGGCUGAAACAGCCUCCUCUCAGAAACUCAGAGAAGGCAGGAGGCACACAAGCAGCAGACACAGAGGAACUGAGUCGCACCAUCGAAGAACUGCUUCUAAUUGACAUUUGUAGAACACUCCACCCAACAAUCGCAAGUACGUACUCCUUUCAAGUGC